UGGGGAAUCUUGGACAAUGGGCGCAAGCCUGAUCCAGCCAUGCCGCGUGGAUGAUGAAGGCCUUAGGGUUGUAAAAUCCUUUCGCCGAGGACGAUAAUGACGGUACUCGGAGAAGAAGCUCCGGCUAACUUCGUGCCAGCAGCCGCGGUAAUACGAAGGGGGCUAGCGUUGUUCGGAUUUACUGGGCGUAAAGCGCGUGUAGGCGGGUCGUUAAGUUGGGGGUGAAAUCCCGAGGCUCAACCUUGGAACUGCCUUCAAAACUGGCGACCUGGACCUAAGUAGAGGCAAGUGGAAUUGCGAGUGUAGAGGUGAAAUUCGUAGAUAUUCGCAGGAACACCAGUGGCGAAGGCGACUUGCUGGACUUAUGGUGACGCUGAGACGCGAAAGCGUGGGGAGCAAACAGGAUUAGAUACCCGUGUAGUCCCUGAGCGGGCUGGCAAGGCGCAU
rnacentral:rRNA from 1 species